GCAAACUUGGUCAUUUAGAGGAAGUAAAAGUCGUAACAAGGUUUCCGUAGGUGAACCUGCGGAAGGAUCAUUCACAAUGAGAGUGUUUAUGGCACUCUUUUAAAAAAAAAUCCAUACCCACCUUGUGUGCAAUGUAUGAUGAGAAAGAAGAGGCCUCCGGAGCUGGGAGUUAAAAUCCUUAGCUCUGAUCUCUUCUUUCAUCUUCACUCAUAAUCACUUUUUCCAUCAGCUCCUAUCGUCUGAAGUUUAAAAGAAUAUACUUAAUUCUUAAUAUAACUUUCAACAACGGAUCUCUUGGCUCUCGCAUCGAUGAAGAACGCAGC
rnacentral:misc_RNA from 1 species